AAUUACCCACUCCCGAACGGGGAGGUAGUGACGAAAAAUAACGAUACGGGACUCAUCCGAGCCCAGUAAUCGGAAUGAGAACACUUUAAAACCUUUAAACGAGGAUCAAUUGGAGGGCAAGUCUGGUGCCAGCAGCCGCGGUAAUUCCAGCUCCAAUAGCGUAUAUUAAAGUUGUUGCGGUUAAAAAGCUCGUAGUCGGAUCUGUGUCUGGACGGUGCCGGACCACCCUGGCGGUCCGUCGUGUCGCGGCCGGCCGUGUCGCGGGACCACGUGUCCCGUCGGCGCGGUCGCCGUCGCGCUCGUCAGCCGUCUCGGGGUGUUAGUUACCGGCACGUCGGCCGGACGUAUUGUCGGCAGGCGGACACGUGUCUCGUGCUUCCGGCGCGCCGCGCGGCCACGCGUCGCGCGGCCGUCGGUGUUCGACGACGGCGGCCGCCUACUCCAAUCUUGCUGCGCGGUGCUCUUCACCGAGUGCCGUCGGCGGGCCGACACGUUUACUUUGAACAAAUUAGAGUGCUCAAAGCAGGCUCGAAUCUGGCGGGGCGGCUUCACGGCCGUCUCGUCAAAAGGCCCUGAAUACUGGUCGCAUGGAAUAAUGGAACAAGACCUCGGUCCCGCGCAUCUCCGCCCUUCGCGGGCGCGCGAAAUCGCCCUCCGGGGCGUUUCCGUGCGCGGGCCGCCGGGCCGCGGGCGCCAGUCGCCCGCGCGUCCCGCCGGGCCGGUUUUCGGGACCGGAGGUAAUGAUCAACAGAGACGGGCGGGGGCAUUCGUACCGAGACGUUAGAGGUGAAAUUCUUGGAUCGUCUCGAGACGAACUGACGCGAAAGCAUUUGCCAAGUACGUUCUCGUAUGAUCAAGAACGAAAGUUAGAGGUCG
rnacentral:ncRNA from 1 species